GUUCAAGACAAUGAUUUCAGAUUCUGAUUACACCGAAUUCGAGAACUUCACAAAGUGGCUUGGCGUUACACAGUAACUGAUCAUUUUUGUUUUGAGGUGAUGUUAGAAACUAUUUUGUUUACUUGUUGGUUCAGUCUGAUCUUUUUGGUUUUGAUGGUCCAAGCUGAGAUUAAGUGGGGAGGAAACUAUAUCCUCAAGUUACUUGCAAAUUCUUCCCCUGACCUUAUUUUGUUGUCAAGUUCCCUUUUGGUUGACAGCUUUAUCAAGAGAUAUGGUAUUAAGUAUUAUUUGGCUCCAACAUUGGAUGCAUGACUUAUUAUCG
rnacentral:misc_RNA from 1 species